rnacentral:lncRNA from 1 species
CGCUUCUCGCUGGAGUGCGCACCGAGCGGCAGUGACUUCGCCGCUGCUGUAGUUCCCCGGCUGGAUGCGGUGACUGGUGCCAGUGCUCAGGCGCCCGCUGCCCUUGACCUCCCGCCCCGCGAGCCCUAACUCAGCGCAGGAGGACCGGCUGCCGCCGCCGCCGCCGCCAGAGCCUUGGCUGCCCAGUUGCCAGUCCUACCACGGUCGGAGGUAACCUUCCUGGCUCCAGUCACAUGGCCAGAUAAGGUGGUGUGUGUGGGCAUGAAUUAUGUGGACCACUGCAAAGAACAGAACGUGCCCGUGCCCAAGGAGCCCAUCAUCUUCAGCAAGUUUGCCAGCUCCAUCGUGGGGCCCUAUGAUGAGGUGGUCCUCCCACCACAGAGCCAGGAGGUAGAUUGGGAAGUGGAGCUGGCCGUGGUCAUUGGAAAGAAAGGCAAGCACAUCAAGUGGCUGCUGGGAAAAACCUUCGACACCUUCUGCCCUCUGGGCCCUGCCUUGGUGACCAAGGACAGUGUAGCAGAUCCACACAACUUAAAGAUCUGCUGUCGAGUGAAUGGGGAAGUGGUCCAGAGCAGCAACACCAACCAGAUGGUAUUCAAGACAGAGGACCUGAUAGCCUGGGUGUCCCAGUUUGUUACCUUUUACCCAGGGGAUGUCAUCCUGACUGGGACCCCCCCACCUCCACCCAGGUGUCGGUGUAUUCAGGAAACCUCCUGUCUUUCUCAAGGUCUCUGAAGGUCCAGACAGCACUGAUGGCGAGCUUUGGGUCCGCACACUCUGGAAAGAAGAGAGAAGUGAAGGCUCUAGGUAGGGAGAACAGAGAGCCACUGGGCACAGGCUUCUCUCCUCUUGUUUAAAGAAGCCCAGGGAGGGAUAGAGCUCUGACUGGACAGAAGACUGUACUCUGCAGCCUGCCUUCCUAGAGUUGGGUUGUCACUGUCCUGCAGGGGGCAGCAGCCACCAGCAAACACCACUGCCUGCAGGAGCCUGGGCUGACUGGUUGGGACUCACCGAAGAUCCCUUCUUCCUGGGCGGUGGCCUGCAGGAACUGGAACAGCUGCUCUGUGUAGCCCAACUCUGCAGAAGAGAGAAGACCUAGACCUGGCACCCAGCACAGACACAGCCUGCCUCGAGGACUGCAAGGGAACAAGGGCCUCACCAGUAUCGGGCAGCUGGCCCUGGCGGAGGAAGGCGGCAGCCUGUGCAAAGGCCUUGAGCAGCGGGCUGAGCAGGCGGCAGAGGAAAAGAAAGAAAUCUGGGCAGUGUGACUGCUGGCUGAGCUGGAGGGGACAGGCCGGGGUGAGUGCAGCUCCCCACCGCCUCCCUACCACCUCCCUCCAGGGGCAGCUUUUUGAAACACACCCUGAAGUACCGGCCGUCAGCCUCUCCGAAGUCAUCACUGUCACUAUCAGUAAAGUCCCCACUCGGUUUCCACAGCA